UGCAUUGGGAGUGGUUCGGGACUAAACCGAUAACUUUAAAAACUCAUAAAAUACUUAGAAAAAUUUUUUUAAAAAUAGGGGACACACGCUCCUGUGGCCCAGCCGUGUGAACAAACACGCCUGUGUCACAAGUCGUGUGGACAUUCGAAAUAGGAGCACAUGGUCGUGUCUGACCUUGUGUAACUCUCUGACUUGGGUCACACGGCCAACACACACACCCAUGUGGAUAGCCC
rnacentral:lncRNA from 1 species